CGGGAAGUAGCUCAGUCUGGUAGAGUACUCGGCUGGGGGCCGAGCGGUCGCAGGUUCAAAUCCUGUCUUCCCGACCA
rnacentral:tRNA from 1 species